rnacentral:rRNA from 1 species
UACGUAGGGGGCUAGCGUUAUCCGGAAUUACUGGGCGUAAAGGGUGCGUAGGUGGUUUCUUAAGUCAGAGGUGAAAGGCUACGGCUCAACCGUAGUAAGCCUUUGAAACUGGGAAACUUGAGUGCAGGAGAGGAGAGUGGAAUUCCUAGUGUAGCGGUGAAAUGCGUAGAUAUUAGGAGGAACACCAGUUGCGAAGGCGGCUCUCUGGACUGUAACUGACACUGAGGCACGAAAGCGUGGGGAGCAAGCAGG